rnacentral:misc_RNA from 1 species
GCAAUCGAACAUAACAUAACUUACAAGGAUAAAUUCCAAGACAAGAUCAAAUUUAUGUAGAGACUUAAGCAAAAUUUGAUACUUAUAGUGCCAUUUGCUCUAUCCAUUGGCUGAUUAAAAAAUAGCUCAAACACAUGACACGAUACCAUCAUGGAAAAUUCUACAUAGUCAGUUAGGGGAAUUCUUAUCAUCAUAUAUUUACAAGAAAAACAUUCGGAUUCAAUCAAUGGUUGAGACAGAACUUUCACCAUCGGCGUGCUCCCCUCCCAAUCAGAGCUUCUUCAAACAAAAUCAUAAAUCUUUAACUGAUAUCCACAAGUUUGGAAUAACUUUAAUUUUGUUUGGCACAAACAGAUUUUUUGAUAACACAAAAUGCUUAUGUCAUACUUCACAAAAAAUUUGAGAAACAGACCAUCAAGUCUAAUCAAAAUAGAAACACAUCUUUUCUCCCCUAAAUUCAUUACUAAUUUUAUUACAUAUAAAUAAAAGGUUCAUUAUAUUCUUGACCAUCAACAUGCAAAUCAUUACAAACGAUUUCACACCUUAUUCACACACACACAAAUAGGGAAAUUAUAGAACACAAGCUUCCAAAUAGGGAAAUUAGAAAUCCCUUCCCAUAAAAUUUCACACACACAUAAAAAUUAAACUUACUUCUUCAUUUAGUAGUAGAAGAAGCGGAAGUACAUUCAGAAGCAACAUCAGUUUCCACUUCCCUUCUGUGGAAAUUGCGGUGGCAGCCACAGGCUGCACAAUUUAGGGUGCCGGAAGUAGUGCCCUCGGGCAUGUACUCCCGGCACCCAUCGAUAACGUAUCCACCGACACUAGCAGCAUGAUUUCUCUGGCACUCAACAUAUCUCACUCUCCUCAUGGUAAAGGAUGAAUUUGUAGAAUUUCUUGAGUAAUCAUUUCUCCUCAAAAUUUUUUUCAUCUCUUCUAAUGAUUCAGACAAAUGAGAAAAUUGAAUAUGGCAUAUGUGUUACUGGAAGCUAGAGAAUAAU